GGCCCNANGAAUGCUAGUGUUGGAGGGUUUCCGCCCUUCAGUGCUGCAGCAAACGCAUUAAGCACUCCGCCUGGGGAGUACGACCGCAAGGUUGAAACUCAAAGGAAUUGACGGGGGCCCGCACAAGCGGUGGAGCAUGUGGUUUAAUUCGAAGCAACGCGAAGAACCUUACCAGGUCUUGACAUCCUUUGACCACUCUAGAGAUAGAGCUUUCCCUUCGGGGACAAAGUGACAGGUGGUGCAUGGUUGUCGUCAGCUCGUGUCGUGAGAUGUUGGGUUAAGUCCCGCAACGAGCGCAACCCUUAUUGUUAGUUGCCAUCAUUUAGUUGGGCACUCUAGCGAGACUGCCGGUGACAAACCGGAGGAAGGUGGGGAUGACGUCAAAUCAUCAUGCCCCUUAUGACCUGGGCUACACACGUGCUACAAUGGGAAGUACAACGAGUCGCUAGACCGCGAGGUCAUGCAAAUCUCUUAAAGCUUCUCUCAGUUCGGAUUGCAGGCUGCAACUCGCCUGCAUGAAGCCGGAAUCGCUAGUAAUCGCGGAUCAGCACGCCGCGGUGAAUACGUUCCCGGGCCUUGUACACACCGCCCGUCACACCACGAGAGUUUGUAACACCCGAAGUCGGUGAGGUAACCUUUUUGGAGCCAGCCGCCUAAGGUGGGAUAGAUGAUUGGGGUGAAGUCGUAACAAGGUAACCGUAGAGUGUGAUCCGGG
rnacentral:rRNA from 1 species